AUGGCUGGAGGCAGCACAAUGCAGGCCACGGUGCUUGGGGCCCCGGGGGUGAAGGGCAGGAAGGUGCGCGCGUUCAAGCGCAGUGAGAAGGAUGCCGUCGUGCGCUCCAUCGCCGGCACCGAGGAGCAGGGCGCCUUCUUCGUCUUUGACCUAGCCACGGUCGCCGACUUGUACAGCCGCUGGUGCCGCGCGCUCGACGGCGUGCGGCCAUUCUACGCCGUAAAGUGCAACCCCGAGCCGGCCAUGCUCGGCGCCAUGGCGGCGCUCGGCUCAGGAUUCGACUGCGCCAGCCGCGCCGAGAUCGAGGCCGUCCUCGCGCUCGGCGUCGUCGGGCCCGCGAGCAUCGUGUACGCCAACCCGUGCAAGCCCGAGGCGCACCUCAGGUACGCGGCCGAGGUGGGCGUCAACCUCGCCACCUACGACACCGAGGACGAGGUGGCCAAGGUGAAGCGAUGCCACCCGAGCUGCGACCUCCUCCUCCGCAUCAAGGGCCCCGACAACCCGGACGCCAAGAUCGACCUCGGCACCAAGUACGGCGCGCGCGCCGACGAGGUGGUCCCGCUCCUGCGGGCCGCGCAGCGCGCGGGGCUCCGCGUGGCCGGCGUGGCGUUCCACGUCGGGGCGUGCACGUCCCGCGUCGACGUGUACCGCGGGGCCAUCGAGGCCGCCCGCGUGGCGUUCGACGAGGCCGCGCAGCUCGGCAUGCCGCCCAUGCGCGUGCUCGACAUCGGCGGCGGCUUCAUGCCGAACGCCACGUUCGACGAGGCGGCGGGGGCCAUCAACGACGCGCUCGCGCAGCACUUCCCGCGCGGGUGCGGCGUGGAGGUGAUCGGCGAGCCGGGGCAGUACUUCGCCGAGACGGCCUUCACGAUGGCGGCGCGGGUCAUCGGCAGGCGCACGCGCGGCGAGGUGCGCCAGUACUGGAUCGACGACGGCAUCUACGGCGCCCUCAGCUGCACCAUCCUGGGCGACUACGUGCCGCGCCCGAGGCCGCUCGCCGCCCCUUGUCCGCCCGGCGGCGAGAACAAGUGCAGUACGUACGCGUCGACGGUGUUCGGGCCGACGUGCGACUCCCGCGACAAGGUGGUGACCGGGUACCAGCUGCCGGAGAUGAAGAUGGGGGACUGGCUCGUAUUCGAUGGUAUAGGCGCCUACGCCGCCUCGUCGGGUUCCAACUUCAACGGAUUCUUGAUCUCGGACAUAAAGACGCAUUUGGCCUACUCCACCUAG
rnacentral:rRNA from 1 species